rnacentral:rRNA from 1 species
AGUGAACGCUGGCGGCGUGCCUAAUACAUGCAAGUCGAACGGAGUGGCGCACGGGUGAGUAAUAUAUGGCUAAUCUGCCCCUUGCUGGGGGACAACAGUUAGAAAUGACUGCUAAUACUCCAUAGCAAGGGAUGAGACUAUAUCGUAUCAGCUAGUCGGUGGGGUAACGGCCUACCGAGGCUAUGACGCGUAACUGGUCUGAGAGGAUGAUCAGUCACAUUGGAAUUGAGACACGGUCCAAACUCCUACGGGAGGCAGCAGUAGGGAAUAUUGCGCAAUGGGGGAUACUCUUUCGCACCUACGCCGCGUGCAGUAUGACACUUUUCGGAGCGUAAACUCCUUUUGUUAGGGAAGCGGUACCUAACGACUAAGCACCGGCUAACUCCGUGCCAGCAGCCGCGGUAAUAC